UACGGAAGGCAGCAGUGGGGAAUAUUGCACAAUGGGCGAAAGCCUGAUGCAGCUAUGCCGCGUGUAUGAAGAAGGCCUUAGGGUUGUAAAGUACUUUCAUCGGGGAGGAAAAACAAAACUAAUAAUUUUAUUUCUUGACGUUACCCGAAAAAGAAGCACCGGCUAACUCCGUGCCAGCAGCCGCGGUAAUACGGAGGGUGCUAGCGUUAAUCAGAAUUACUGGGCGUAAAGAGCACGUAGGUGGUUUUUUAAGUCAGAUGUGAAAUCCCUGGGCUUAACCUGGAACUGCAUUUUGAAACUGAAAUACUAGAGUAUCGUAGAGGGAGGUAGAAUUCUAGGUGUAGCGGUGAAAUGCGUAGAUAUCUGGAGGAAUACCUGUGGCGAAAGCGGCCUCCUAAACCGAAUACUGACACUGAGGUGCGAAAGCGUGGGGAGCAAACAGGGAUUAGAUACC
rnacentral:rRNA from 1 species